CAAAAAAAAAAAGAAAAAAAAAAAGAGGCAGAACUCCAAUAGGUGCCGAGCGGCAUUAGGGUUUUGCCCAACUCUGAAUACUUAUAAAAGCCGCCUAUGCAGAGAUUCUUCCACUCGUCGUCGAGGAGUCGACUCCAUUUCGAGGUCACGAUCUGAAGAACUACUGGGCUUGUAAACUGUAAAGGAUAAGCUGAAACUGUGCUCAUCUGAUUCAUGGGAGGCCAAAAGCAAUGCUGGGGAGUUUCGCUGAUAAUGCCUUUCUUCUCCUUUUGUAACUUGAAGGCGUUUAUUAGUAACUCCUCCAUACAUGACCAUGAGCCAAUAAUGCAUCCUUCUUUUCCAGAAAUGCGGUGACUGUCAAGGAACCAUCUCUACUUUGACACAAAAAAAUAUAUUGAUGUUUUCUUUCAACGAAGAAUGACAUCAUACUCGACCCCUUUACAAUGUUUUCCUUUUAACCAAGAAUGACACCAUACUUGUCCUUAUUACCUUACAACCAAACGUAAUGUGCAAUGCAAGUGUUUUUCCUCUUUCUUUAGAGCUUACCCGUUUGAGAGGUGUGGGGUGUUGGUUGAGAGGUGUUAGAUUGACAGGGGUUGAGGGUGUUGGGAGGUGUUAGGAUUUUUAUAUAUAACCUUAUAGAGAGAUUUUGUCCCAACAGUCCCGAACGUCUGAAACAGUCAAGGGUUGGGAGGUACUCAACACCCUUGAACACCUUAAAUGGACAAACCCUUAUUCUCAGCCAUUAAAUACCUCUUCUUAACCUCAACACCCUUCCGCUCUGUGGAUUACACAAUGUUGCCCAAGUUUAAAUUAACGAGAAGUGGUCAGAUAGGCAAGUCUUAAUCCUUGCAUUUUAUUUGCUAAGGCAAAGUUAACUCUGCCGGAGCAGAAUGUGAAUAUAUGACCUGAUAAUGUAAUCUAGGGCUGGAGAUAAAGGUAUGAAAAUAUAUAAAGGUCUGAUUGUAUGUCUACAAUUUAUUAUGAUAAUGACUUUCUCUACAUGAACUAAAAGAUAUAAGAUGAUAAACAGUUAAAGAGUCACUACCAGGGCAUUUGACUGCAUUAUGCAUCAAUAAACAUCACAAAAAUACUCCUGCCAUCCACAAUUCAAACUCUACUAUUUUGCUCUCU